rnacentral:rRNA from 1 species
GACGGGAGCUUGCUCCCUURGGUCAGCGGCGGACGGGUGAGUAACACGUGGGUAACCUGCCUGUAAGACUGGGAUAACUCCGGGAAACCGGGGCUAAUACCGGAUGCUUGAUUGAACCGCAUGGUUCAAUCAUAAAAGGUGGCUUUUAGCUACCACUURCAGAUGGACCCGCGGCGCAUUAGCUAGUUGGUGAGGUAACGGCUCACCAAGGCGACGAUGCGUAGCCGACCUGAGAGGGUGAUCGGCCACACUGGGACUGAGACACGGCCCAGACUCCUACGGGAGGCAGCAGUAGGGAAUCUUCCGCAAUGGACGAAAGUCUGACGGAGCAACGCCGCGUGAGUGAUGAAGGUUUUCGGAUCGUAAAACUCUGUUGUUAGGGAAGAACAAGUACCGUUCGAAUAGGGCGGCACCUUGACGGUACCUAACCAGAAAGCCACGGCUAACUACGUGCCAGCAGCCGCGGUAAUACGUAGGUGGCAAGCGUUGUCCGGAAUUAUUGGGCGUAAAGCGCGCGCAGGCGGUUUCUUAAGUCUGAUGUGAAAGCCCCCGGCUCAACCGGGGAGGGUCAUUGGAAACUGGGGAACUUGAGUGCAGAAGAGGAGAGUGGAAUUCCACGUGUAGCGGUGAAAUGCGUAGAGAUGUGGAGGAACACCAGUGGCGAAGGCGACUCUCUGGUCUGUAACUGACGCUGAGGCGCGAAAGCGUGGGGAGCGAACAGGAUUAGAUACCCUGGUAGUCCACGCCGUAAACGAUGAGUGCUAAGUGUUAGAGGGUUUCCGCCCUUUAGUGCUGCAGCAAACGCAUUAAGCACUCCGCCUGGGGAGUACGGUCGCAAGACUGAAACUCAAAGGAAUUGACGGGGGCCCGCACAAGCGGUGGAGCAUGUGGUUUAAUUCGAAGCAACGCGAAGAACCUUACCAGGUCUUGACAUCYUCUGACAACCCUAGAGAUAGGGCUUCCCCUUCGGGGGCAGAGUGACAGGUGGUGCAUGGUUGUCGUCAGCUCGUGUCGUGAGAUGUUGGGUUAAGUCCCGCAACGAGCGCAACCCUUGAUCUUAGUUGCCAGCAUUCAGUUGGGCACUCUAAGGUGACUGCCGGUGACAAACCGGAGGAAGGUGGGGAUGACGUCAAAUCAUCAUGCCCCUUAUGACCUGGGCUACACACGUGCUACAAUGGGCAGAACAAAGGGCAGCGAAGCCGCGAGGCUAAGCCAAUCCCACAAAUCUGUUCUCAGUUCGGAUCGCAGUCUGCAACUCGACUGCGUGAAGCUGGAAUCGCUAGUAAUCGCGGAUCAGCAUGCCGCGGUGAAUAC